UGAGCAUUUCGUGUGGAUACAGAAGACACGAUUAGUGCAGAUCAAGUACAUGGAAAGAAAAAGGAGGUGACAACGCUGGGUGAUAACAGGGAUAGACAGCAGGAGGAGAAAAUCCAAGCUAUGUUAUCCAAAGAGCACUGUGACUUUGCCAAAGGGACAAAGGUGAGAAAACGCCUGUGUGGUCUUGAAAACUUGCUGUUGGCUUGUGGACAGAGCAACAAGAGGAGAGCUCCUGGAACUUCCCAUGCCUAAAGCCCCCGGAACAGGAGGAGCCAAGCCUGCAGGUCCUUUCUUGAAGCAAUGUUCUGUGGCCUGGGUCCUCUGGAAAAUACUGUCUUUCUGUUUGUGUGGGAGAAUGAAGAAAACAAAGAAGCUGGGAAAGGUCUCAGAGAAAGUCAGCUGUGGACAGAAAUGGAUUGAAAUCUGGGAGUGCAUCACACAGAAGGAAGGACUCUUAGCCCAGGAGCCCCCUGCCUAGAAGGAAAGAGCGAAUUUCAGCCUAAGGUGACACAACACUGAAAUGCUGAUCUGGCCUCUGGGAGGAGAAGGUGGGAGAAAGUUCCACACUAGGCAUACUGAGGAAGAGGAAUUUUUUUUAACCUGUGGAAUCCUGCCCACACCCUGCCACACACAAUCACAUAUGCACUCACACCUGCACAAACCACACACACACACACACACACACACUUUUUUCCUCUAGUUCCGUGAGUCCCAACUCUGCCUUUGCAUCAAGAUCACCCACAGCUUUAAAAUACAGAUGCUGAGGCUUUCCAUGUCUACUAAAUAGUCAUAUUUGGAAACAGGCCUUGAGCAUCUGAAUCCUUCCAUUUCUUAAAAGUUAAGUGACACUUCUGCCCAAAGUGAAAAUUCACAGUCCAGAAAAGAGGAGUUCUCGUCAUGGCGCAGUGGAAAUGAAUCUGACUAGUAUCCAUGAGGACACAGAUUUGAUCCCUGGCCAUGCCAUGGGUUAAGGAUCCAACAUUGCCGUGAGCUGUGGUUGCAGAUUUGGCUAAGAUCUGGCAUUGCUGUGGCUGUGGCAUAGGCCGGUAGCUGUAGCUCCAAUUCGACCGGCAGCCUGGGAACCUCCAUAAGCUGCAAGUGCAGCCCUCAAAGACAAAAAACAAAAACAAAAAACCAACAACUAUAGUACGGAAAAGAAAAUCUCUGUACUCCUUCCACCCAGGCCUCAGUCUUCUCCCCAAAGGCAAACACUUUUAACAGUUCCUUGUGAUAUGUUUCUUUCCAAAAGCAAUGGUUUCAUGUAGCCAUCUGUUGUUAUUUUGAACCUCUGUCAAUAAUGAUUAUGAUGGAUGGUCAGGUAAGAAUCUUCUUCUUGGGCCCUGCUCUGCCCACCUCACAGAUGCAUCUUUUGUAGGAAAGGAGGGUGGGAAGAGGGAGGCUUGGGAAGCUUUCUGAGGCAACAAGCAGAUAGGAGAGUGAAAAGACAGCCUGGAGGGGAGCUCCUCAGGGUAGCAGACCACCUAAGAGGCACAUGGAGUUCACAAGAGCUAAGAGAGGCAGAGGAGCAAGAGAUAGUCAGCAUCCAGGAGGCUUAGUAAGGAACACCUUUCAGAGG
rnacentral:lncRNA from 9 species